CCCACAGCACCUGGGCUCUGUUGCAGCCUCCUCCCACCCCAGCUGUGGCCACUUUGCCCUCCCUGCCCACUGCCCUAUUUAAGCAGCCCCAGGACAGGCAGCAGCCCCAAGCUUGCCCAACUGGGCAGAGGAUCCUCCUCCUGUCACCACAGCUGCUUCUUGCUCCCCCCUUGUGACCCUGCAGCAGCGCCAGGACUGGAGCUGGCAGCACUGGGAGCAGCACUGGGAGCAGCACUGCCUUAGCCGCAAGAGGGUGCAAAGGAGCAGAGAUGGCACAAAGGAGAGGGGAGUUAGGAGCAGCCCAGGACAAGAUGGAAAUGAAAGCAGCCACGAGGCCACCUCAGCCAUCUCCUAUCAAAUUUUCCACUCCCAGUGAGAAGCCAAACGGAUCAAGUACAAAUGAAGUCUCUUGGAUGAUGCUGAUCAGCACAGCAGCUUCAGAAGAGCAGGAUGAAAGUGCCUGAACUUCAGAAUAUUGAAAGGGAAACAAAAAAAUAUAAAUCAAAGCUCUUCUAUUACCAGAAGAUCCUGGCAAGUCUUUUGAUCAGGACUUAAAAGCCCUCUUGAAGCACCUGCCACACACCCCCAAAUGUGUUCCAAGCUUUGACAGCCACUCUCUUAGCUACUUCUUUUUCACAAUAGCCUCCAAGUAUUCCUGAACCCCCCCAAAGUUUGCAGAAGCUCCAAGACUCCUUUUCUUCCAGUGGCUCCUCACUUUAACAAGGAGCACAGAAUCCCUUCUGUGGUGGAAAGCAUCUAUCAAACAGCUUCACUGUCUCUUCUUCCUCCUCCUCCCUUCACGUGGAGCUGUGGCUUGCUUUUGCUUUGCUUCACAUCCGGACCAAGACUCUAAUUUGCUUUGCAGAUGGGAGUUCAUUCUAUCAGGCAGCAACACAGAUCAUAGAUGUGUUAGGGUUGGUAAGGUCAUCCAGUCCAAUCACCAACCCAACACCACUGUGGCCAUUAAACCAUGUCCCCAGGGGCCACAUCUUGAAUGCCUCCAGGGGUGGGGACUCCACCACCUUGUCUUUAUCUUUAAAAGGGAUCUGUUAUCACUUCAGACCCAGAGCUUCUUGAUUUGAUCAGACAUGCAGCAGUUGAGGGAGCCGAGGCAGACCCCACAAGCCACACAUCCUUGCACCUGCUCAGCCACAGCAGCCAUCCUGGAAGAGCCACAUGCAGAAGCCACCAGGCAGCUGGCAAGUUAAGCACAAAACCUGUUGUGUGCUCCCUCUGGAAGGGCACAUUUGUAACAGUCCAGCAAAAAGCAGCAUUUAUCCCCUCUGGUACAGGAGCUGUCAGGGUGUGAUGGAGAUCAUCUUGGCUGCCAAAAAACUCUUCCAGCUGGAUACCAAAGAUUCAGUGAGGAUGAGCAGAAAGGGAAACCACACCACUGUGAACCUCAGGCUUGGGCUCCAGGAAGGUGCUUAGAGCAAGAGCAGCUGAAUCCUCCUCCUCUGCCUUGAGCUGGGGUUUGCUGCUAUCGGCUGUGCAGAGCAUGGGUACAUCCCAGGUCUUCUCCUCGUGGACACUGUACACCAGGUGGUCAGAACCCAACAGUGUUGUAUUCCCUGCUGCCACCUUAUCUUUCUUGGAAGAUGAGGGCACAAGUAAGGGUAGCAGAUUACAAGAGAUAGGGCUCCACAGAAGCGUGUUUGAAGAGCACGGUGUGUUCCCUGUGCUCACUGGGAACUCAGUUGGCAGCCAGCUCAGAAGCAAGACUAAAGAGACACCCAGACUUGAGACCUGCAGAUCACUGAAGUCCACCAGAAGUAGAGAGGCCAUGCAGGAAUUUACCUCUCUGCCCCAAAGCAGCAUCAGAAUCUUUCUACAACACUACCACCUAGAAAGACUGGAUCCUGGCACAGGUUGCCCAGGGAGGUUGUGGGUUUGAAGUGGCAGAGGGGAGAUUGAAAGUGGAUGUUAGGAAGAAGCUCUUGGCAGGGAGGGUGCUGAGACACUGGCACAGGUUGAG